rnacentral:rRNA from 1 species
UUUUUAUGGAGAGUUUGAUCCUGGCUCAGGAUGAACGCUGGCGGCGUGCCUAAUACAUGCAAGUCGAGCGAACAGACGAGGAGCUUGCUCCUCUGACGUUAGCGGCGGACGGGUGAGUAACACGUGGAUAACCUACCUAUAAGACUGGGAUAACUUCGGGAAACCGGAGCUAAUACCGGAUAAUAUAUUGAACCGCAUGGUUCAAUAGUGAAAGACGGUUUUGCUGUCACUUAUAGAUGGAUCCGCGCCGCAUUAGCUAGUUGGUAAGGUAACGGCUUACCAAGGCAACGAUGCGUAGCCGACCUGAGAGGGUGAUCGGCCACACUGGAACUGAGACACGGUCCAGACUCCUACGGGAGGCAGCAGUAGGGAAUCUUCCGCAAUGGGCGAAAGCCUGACGGAGCAACGCCGCGUGAG